GAUGAAGAACGCAGCGAAAUGCGAUAAGUAAUGUGAAUUGCAGAAUUCAGUGAAUCAUCGAAUCUUUGAACGCACAUUGCGCCCAUUAGCAUUCUAGUGGGCAUGCCUGUUCGAGCGUCAUUUCAACCCUUAAGCCCUGUUGCUUAGCGUUGGGAGCCUACAGUACUGUAGCUCCCCAAAGUUAGUGGCGGAGUCGGUUUCACACUCUAGACGUAGUAAAUUUUUCUCGUCUGUAGUUGAGCCGGUCCCCUGCCGUAAAACACCCAAUUUAACAAGGUUGACCUCGGAUCAGGUAGGAAUACCCGCUGAACUUAAGCAUAUCAAUAAGCGGAGGA
rnacentral:misc_RNA from 1 species